GCCAAACAGCUAGCUCACAAAACCAAGGAACUCAAAAUAACAAAAUAUAUACCACAACAUAAACCCAAUAACAUAAACUAAACCAUUCACCCUCCCCAGUAUGGGCGACAAAAAAGGAUAAAGUAAGCCAUAGACAAAGUACCGCAAGGGAACGCUGAAAAAGAACUGAAAAAACUCACUCAAGCACAGCAAAGCAGAGAUAAAAACUCGUACCUUUUGCAUCAUGAUCUAGCCAGUACACCCAAGCAAAGAGAACUCUAGUUUGUAGCCCCGAAACCUACGACGAGCUACCUCAAGGCCGCCUAAAACAGGGCAAACCCGUCUCUGUGGCAAAAGAGUGGGAAGACCUUCAGGUAGAGGUGAAAAGCCUACCGAGUCAGGUCAUAGCUGGUUGCUUAGAAAAUGAAUAGAAGUUCAGCCUCAUGCCGCCCCUAACCAAUCCUACCCCAUUAAAACAGGAACUAGGGCCACUCCUGAGAGUUAGUUGAAGGAGGUACAGCUCCCUCAACAAAGGACACAACCUUUAUAAGAGGUUAAGGAAUAUACUCAACCAAAAGGCUUAAAAGUCCUAGUAGGCCUAAAAGCAGCCACCUAAACAGAAAGCGUUAAAGCUUAAACCAAAAAAAGCCUAAUAUCAUAUUAAACCCUCCAACACCCUUACCAAUCAUACUAAGCCAUUUUAUGCCACCAUAAAAGAGACCAUGCUAGAACAAGUAAUAAGAAGAAUGAACUUCUCCCAGCACAUGUGUAAGUCGAAUCGGACAAACCACCGACAAUUAACGAACCCAAGAACAGAGGAAACUACGAGACCAACUAGAAAACCAAGAAAAACACGUCACACCGUAAAUCGUUACCCCUACACAGGAGUGCAAAACCUCAAAGGAAAGACUAAAAGGAUAAAAAGGAACUCGGCAAACCAAAACCCCGCCUGUUUACCAAAAACAUCGCCUCCUGCCCAUAACAACAUAGGAGGUCCCGCCUGCCCCGUGACUCACGUUUAACGGCCGCGGUAUUCUAACCGUGCAAAGGUAGCGCAAUCAAUUGUCUUUUAAAUGAAGACCUGUAUGAAUGGCAUAACGAGGGUUUAACUGUCUCUUUACCCCAGUCAAUGAAACUGACCUGCCCGUGCAGAGGCGGGCAUAAGAAUACAAGACGAGAAGACCCUGUGGAGCUUCAGACACUAACCAACCACAACAACAACGGCCAACAAUAAGCCGAAAAAAAUAUGGGGAUGGCACAAAUGUCUUCGGUUGGGGCGACCACGGCGAGAAAACAAAGCUCCCGAGCGGACUGGGCACACCCCUAAAACUUAGAACCACACCCCUAAGUCUCAAAACAUUUGACCAAUAAUGACCCGACUACCCGUCGAUCAACGAACAAAGUUACCCCAGGGAUAACAGCGCAAUCCCCUCACAGAGCCCAUAUCGACGAGGAGGUUUACGACCUCGAUGUUGGAUCAGGACAUCCCAAUGGUGCAGCCGCUAUUAAAGGUUCGUUUGUUCAACGAUUAAAGUCCUACGUGAUCUGAGUUCAGACCGGAGAAAUCCAGGUCGGUUUCUAUCUGUAACGCUACCCCUCCUAGUACGAAAGGACCGGAGAGAUGGGGCCUAUACUGAAAGCACGCCUCACCAAAACCUGAUGAAAACAUAUAAAACAGACAAAAGGGGCAACCCCCCACCCAAAAUAAGGGUCGC
rnacentral:rRNA from 1 species